rnacentral:rRNA from 1 species
ACCCUUUUGUUUGCUUAGGUGUUAGGCAUGGCGCGACCGUGUCUGGUGCCGCAGGGAAGCCGUGAAGCGAGCCACCUGGGAAGUACGGCCGCAAGGCUGAAACUUAAAGGAAUUGGCGGGGGAGCACAACAACGGGUGGAGCCUGCGGUUUAAUUGGACUCAACGCCGGACAACUCACCGGGGACGACAGCAAUAUGUAGGCCAGGCUAAAGACCUUGCCUGAAUCGCUGAGAGGAGGUGCAUGGC